rnacentral:tRNA from 1 species
UGCCGGGUGGUGUAGCGGUAGCACGGGGGACUUUGGAUCCUUUAGCCGAGGUUCGAAUCCUCGCCCGGCAG